GACGAACGCUGGCGGCGUGCUUAACACAUGCAAGUCGAACGAAGUGGCGAACGGGUGAGUAACGCGUAAUCAACCUGCCCUUCAGAGGGGGACAACAGUUGGAAACGACUGCUACUACCGCAUACCGAAGGCGGUGCUUUCGUCUGUUUAGCUAGUUGGUGGGGUAACGGCCCACCAAGGCGAUGAUCAGUAGCCGGUCUGGUAGGAUGAACGGCAAAAUUGGGACUGAGACACGGCCCAGAAUCCUACGGGAGGCAGCAGUGGGGAAUCUUCCGCAAUGGACGAAAGUCUGACGGAGCAACGCCGCGUGAGUGAUGACGGCCUUCGGGUUGUAAAGCUCUGUUAAUCGGGACGCGGUACCGGAAUAGAAAGCCACGGCUAACUACGUGCCAGCAGCCGCGGUAAUAC
rnacentral:rRNA from 1 species